GGGACGAAUUGCAGAAUAUAUGGGAAAUAUUUUUUCAAAUUUAAAACGAAAUGCAGCAAUCUCAUUGGCUUUCAAAGUAGGACAAACUGUAAAGCGCAAUAAAAUCCCGAUACUGCGCAGCAAGACCGUUCAUUCGCUAGUUGAAGUGUGGAAGCGAACAACAAUUUUCAAGAAAACAAAAGCGAGAUGUCUAGCCAACAGAGUGGAGGUGGUAAAUACGGCGGCACGGGGGACAAGGCGGACCUGAGUAACCAUGGCAGCCAGUGUAACCCGAACAACCCUGAGUACAAGGGUCAUCAGUCCGGGUACACAGGGACAAGCACAAAGCCGGACCUCGAUAACCAUGGCAAUCAGUUGAACCCGAAUAACAGCAGGUUCCAGUCAAAAAAGUGACGUCAUUUUACGAGGAAAGAUGAGACGUCAUACAAGGCUUCCAUCAUAUGACUUUGUAACCAUGUAUGGAAUUUAAUAAAAGAACAGUUGUGUU